rnacentral:rRNA from 2 species
UACGGGAGGCAGCAGUGGGGAAUUUUGGACAAUGGGCGCAAGCCUGAUCCAGCCAUGCCGCGCGUCUGAAGAAGGCCUUCGGGUUGUAAAGGACUUUUGUCCGGGAGCAAAUGCCUGGUGUUAAUAGCACUGGGAGCUGAGAGUACCGGAAGAAUAAGCACCGGCUAACUACGUGCCAGCAGCCGCGGUAAUACGUAGGGUGCAAGCGUUAAUCGGAAUUACUGGGCGUAAAGCGUGCGCAGGCGGUUUUGUAAGCCAGAUGUGAAAGCCCCGGGCUCAACCUGGGAACUGCGUUUGGAACUACAAGACUAGAGUGUGUCAGAGGGGGGUGGAAUCCCGCGUGUAGCAGUGAAAUGCGUAGAGAUGCGGAGGAACACCGAUGGCGAAGGCAGCCCCCUGGGAUAACACUGACGCUCAUGCACGAAAGCGUGGGGAGCAAACAGGAUUAGAUACCCUGGUAGUCCACGCCCUAAACGAUGUCAAUUAGCUGUUGGGGGUUAGAAUCCUUGGUAGCGUAGCUAACGCGUGAAAUUGACCGCCUGGGGAGUACGGCCGCAAGGUUAAAACUCAAAGGAAUUGACGG